rnacentral:rRNA from 1 species
UAAGCGACUAAGCGUACACGGUGGAUGCCCUGGCAGUCAGAGGCGAUGAAGGACGUGCUAAUCUGCGAUAAGCGUCGGUAAGGUGAUAUGAACCGUUAUAACCGGCGAUUUCCGAAUGGGGAAACCCAGUGUGAUUCGUCACACUAUCAUUAACUGAAUCCAUAGGUUAAUGAGGCGAACCGGGGGAACUGAAACAUCUAAGUACCCCGAGGAAAAGAAAUCAACCGAGAUUCCCCCAGUAGCGGCGAGCGAACGGGGAGGAGCCCAGAGCCUGAAUCAGUGUGUGUGUUAGUGGAAGCGUCUGGAAAGGCGCGCGAUACAGGGUGACAGCCCCGUACACAAAAAUGCACAUACUGUGAGCUCGAUGAGUAGGGCGGGACACGUGGUAUCCUGUCUGAAUAUGGGGGGACCAUCCUCCAAGGCUAAAUACUCCUGACUGACCGAUAGUGAACCAGUACCGUGAGGGAAAGGCGAAAAGAACCCCGGCGAGGGGAGUGAAAAAGAACCUGAAACCGUGUACGUACAAGCAGUGGGAGCCUCUUUUAUUGGGGUGACUGCGUACCUUUUGUAUAAUGGGUCAGCGACUUAUAUUCUGUAGCAAGGUUAACCGAAUAGGGGAGCCGAAGGGAAACCGAGUCUUAACCGGGCGUUAAGUUGCAGGGUAUAGACCCGAAACCCGGUGAUCUAGCCAUGGGCAGGUUGAAGGUUGGGUAACACUAACUGGAGGACCGAACCGACUAAUGUUGAAAAAUUAGCGGAUGACUUGUGGCUGGGGGUGAAAGGCCAAUCAAACCGGGAGAUAGCUGGUUCUCCCCGAAAGCUAUUUAGGUAGCGCCUCGUGAAUUCAUCUCCGGGGGUAGAGCACUGUUUCGGCAAGGGGGUCAUCCCGACUUACCAACCCGAUGCAAACUGCGAAUACCGGAGAAUGUUAUCACGGGAGACACACGGCGGGUGCUAACGUCCGUCGUGAAGAGGGAAACAACCCAGACCGCCAGCUAAGGUCCCAAAGUCAUGGUUAAGUGGGAAACGAUGUGGGAAGGCCCAGACAGCCAGGAUGUUGGCUUAGAAGCAGCCAUCAUUUAAAGAAAGCGUAAUAGCUCACUGGUCGAGUCGGCCUGCGCGGAAGAUGUAACGGGGCUAAACCAUGCACCGAAGCUGCGGCAGCGACACUGUGUGUUGUUGGGUAGGGGAGCGUUCUGUAAGCCUGUGAAGGUGUACUGUGAGGUAUGCUGGAGGUAUCAGAAGUGCGAAUGCUGACAUAAGUAACGAUAAAGCGGGUGAAAAGCCCGCUCGCCGGAAGACCAAGGGUUCCUGUCCAACGUUAAUCGGGGCAGGGUGAGUCGACCCCUAAGGCGAGGCCGAAAGGCGUAGUCGAUGGGAAACAGGUUAAUAUUCCUGUACUUGGUGUUACUGCGAAGGGGGGACGGAGAAGGCUAUGUUGGCCGGGCGACGGUUGUCCCGGUUUAAGCGUGUAGGCUGGUUUUCCAGGCAAAUCCGGAAAAUCAAGGCUGAGGCGUGAUGACGAGGCACUACGGUGCUGAAGCAACAAAUGCCCUGCUUCCAGGAAAAGCCUCUAAGCAUCAGGUAACAUCAAAUCGUACCCCAAACCGACACAGGUGGUCAGGUAGAGAAUACCAAGGCGCUUGAGAGAACUCGGGUGAAGGAACUAGGCAAAAUGGUGCCGUAACUUCGGGAGAAGGCACGCUGAUAUGUAGGUGAAGUCCCUCGCGGAUGGAGCUGAAAUCAGUCGAAGAUACCAGCUGGCUGCAACUGUUUAUUAAAAACACAGCACUGUGCAAACACGAAAGUGGACGUAUACGGUGUGACGCCUGCCCGGUGCCGGAAGGUUAAUUGAUGGGGUCAGCGCAAGCGAAGCUCUUGAUCGAAGCCCCGGUAAACGGCGGCCGUAACUAUAACGGUCCUAAGGUAGCGAAAUUCCUUGUCGGGUAAGUUCCGACCUGCACGAAUGGCGUAAUGAUGGCCAGGCUGUCUCCACCCGAGACUCAGUGAAAUUGAACUCGCUGUGAAGAUGCAGUGUACCCGCGGCAAGACGGAAAGACCCCGUGAACCUUUACUAUAGCUUGACACUGAACAUUGAGCCUUGAUGUGUAGGAUAGGUGGGAGGCUUUGAAGUGUGGACGCCAGUCUGCAUGGAGCCGACCUUGAAAUACCACCCUUUAAUGUUUGAUGUUCUAACGUGGACCCGUGAUCCGGGUUGCGGACAGUGUCUGGUGGGUAGUUUGACUGGGGCGGUCUCCUCCUAAAGAGUAACGGAGGAGCACGAAGGUUGGCUAAUCCUGGUCGGACAUCAGGAGGUUAGUGCAAUGGCAUAAGCCAGCUUGACUGCGAGCGUGACGGCGCGAGCAGGUGCGAAAGCAGGUCAUAGUGAUCCGGUGGUUCUGAAUGGAAGGGCCAUCGCUCAACGGAUAAAAGGUACUCCGGGGAUAACAGGCUGAUACCGCCCAAGAGUUCAUAUCGACGGCGGUGUUUGGCACCUCGAUGUCGGCUCAUCACAUCCUGGGGCUGAAGUAGGUCCCAAGGGUAUGGCUGUUCGCCAUUUAAAGUGGUACGCGAGCUGGGUUUAGAACGUCGUGAGACAGUUCGGUCCCUAUCUGCCGUGGGCGCUGGAGAACUGAGGGGGGCUGCUCCUAGUACGAGAGGACCGGAGUGGACGCAUCACUGGUGUUCGGGUUGUCAUGCCAAUGGCACUGCCCGGUAGCUAAAUGCGGAAGAGAUAAGUGCUGAAAGCAUCUAAGCACGAAACUUGCCCCGAGAUGAGUUCUCCCUGACCCUUUAAGGGUCCUGAAGGAACGUUGAAGACGACGACGUUGAUAGGCCGGGUGUGUAAGCGCAGCGAUGCGUUGAGCUAACCGGUACUAAUGAACCGUGAGGCUUAACCU